GACGAACGCUGGCGGCGUGCUUAACACAUGCAAGUCGAACGGAAAGGCCCUGCUUUUGUGGGGUGCUCGAGUGGCGAACGUGUGAGUAACACGUGAGUAACCUGCCCUGGACUUUGGGAUAACUUCAGGAAACUGGGGCUAAUACCGGAUAGGAGCUCCUGCUGCAUGGUGGGGGUUGGAAAGUUUCGGCGGUUGGGGAUGGACUCGCGGCUUAUCAGCUUGUUGGUGGGGUAGUGGCUUACCAAGGCUUUGACGGGUAGCCGGACUGAGAGGGUGACCGGCCACAUUGGGACUGAGAUACGGCCCAGACUCCUACGGGAGGCAGCAGUGGGGAAUAUUGCACAAUGGGCGGAAGCCUGAUGCAGCAACGCCGCGUGCGGGAUGACGGCCUUCGGGUUGUAAACCGCUUUCGCCUGUGACGAAGCGUGAGUGACGGUAAUGGGUAAAGAAGCACCGGCUAACUACGUG
rnacentral:rRNA from 1 species